UUUAAAGUGUAAUGUAAGUCGCUUUGGAUAAAAGCGUCUGCUAGAUGACCUGUA
rfam:Gasterosteus aculeatus cont1.009202, whole genome shotgun sequence.